GGCGGCGUGCCUAAUACAUGCAAGUCGAACGGUCUUUCUAUGGAAGCUUGCUUCCACUGAGAAGAUAGUGGCGAACGGGUGAGUAACACGUGGGUAACCUGCCCAUAAGAGGGGGAUAACAUCCGGAAACGGGUGCUAAUACCGCAUAGUUUUCUUGAUCGCAUGAUUGAGAAAGGAAAGAUGGCCUUUGUGCUGUCGCUUAUGGAUGGACCCGCGGCGUAUUAGUUAGUUGGUGAGGUAACGGCUCACCAAGACGAUGAUACGUAGCCGACCUGAGAGGGUGAUCGGCCACAUUGGGACUGAGACACGGCCCAAACUCCUACGGGAGGCAGCAGUAGGGAAUCUUCCGCAAUGGACGAAAGUCUGACGGAGCAACGCCGCGUGAGUGAAAGAAGGUUUUCGGAUCGUAAAACUCUGUUGUCAGAGAAGAACAAGUUGGAGAGUAACUGCUCCAGCCUUGACGGUAUCUGACCAGAAAGCCACGGCUAACUACGUGCCAGCCGCCGC
rnacentral:rRNA from 1 species